rnacentral:tRNA from 1 species
GGGCGGAUGGCGGAAUGGCAGACGCGCAAGGCUUAGGACCUUGUGGGGCAACCCGUGGAGGUUCAAAUCCUCUUCCGCCCA